rnacentral:lncRNA from 1 species
AAAAAGUUAUGCAAUUAGGGUUGUGAUUGCACAAGAGUUGUGCUUUAAAGUAUCAAGUGUUGAUGCGAAAAACGACGUCGAUUUUAAAUGAAUUUUUCAUUAAAAUUUUCGGUCAGGGGCGCUGCCCCUUCAACCCCGCAAGGGGCGCUGCCCCCUUAACCCCUGUCCGCUGACCGGGCAGCGGACCCUGGCUAACUCUGCGUAGUGUGAUC